AUACGUAGGUGACAAGCGUUAUCCGGAUUUACUGUGUGUAAAGGGCGUGUAGGCGGUUUAGCAAGUCAGAAGUGAACUUCCUGGGCUUAAAUUGGGCGCUGCUUCUGAAAUUGGUUUACUUGAGUACUGGCGAGGAUAGUGGAUGUACUAGUGUAGAGGAUAAAGCCGCAGAUAUUAGGAGGAACACCGGUGGCGAAGGCGGCUAUCUGGACAGUAACUGACGCUGAGGCGCGAAAGCACGGGGAGCAAACAGGAUUAGAUACCCUGGUAGUCCGUGCCGUAAACGAUGAAUACUAGGUGUAGGGGGUAUCGACUCCCUCUGUGCCGCAGUUAACACAUUAAGUAUUCCACCUGGGGAGUACGGCCGCAAGGUUGAAACUCAAAGGAAUUGACGGGG
rnacentral:rRNA from 1 species